CUUUCAGUGACAAGAUCAACCCUUCCCCCAAAGCAUAUUUGUUUCUCAGGUAGUUCCAGCCAGCCUUACAUGUGAUCAGGGGAUAAGGAACUUGUUGCGUUAUCUGAAGUGGAAAACACCCGGGCGCUUUACUCAGUUUUUCAUCUCUGUUACAGAUUGCUCAAAGUUAUGCAACCGCCUCGAGCAAAGAGGCAACUUCAGAAUCUGGUAAUCGCCUAUUCUUCCAACGGCGCUGGCCGCGCUGAAAGGAGCCAACAGGCUACACCAAGUUUGUGUGUGUCUUUGUUGAACUGCAGAGUCCCAAAAUGAACUCCAUCAUCCUGUACUCCAUCAUCCUGUACUCCAUCAGUGCUUCUGACUGUGCCAAGUAAAGUGAAAUGAUUGCUUUCCAGGUUUUAUAGGCAAUGCCACUUUCAAUGGCCUAGAAUUAGAUUUACUUACUCUGUGGCAGCAUGUUGCUACUAACAGAUAUUUAACUUUGAUUUGCUGUCCACAUGUGAUCACUUUCUGAUUAUUUUUUUUUGGCUACUUUCAACUAAUAAUUGAUUUCAAAUUCCAAUACAUAGUACUUUGUGUUUGUCUGUCAUUAAAGUGCACCUUGAUCUUA